rnacentral:rRNA from 1 species
AACGAACGCUGGCGGCAGGCUUAACACAUGCAAGUCGAGCGCCCCGCAGGGGGAGCGGCAGACGGGUGAGUAACGCGUGGGAAUCUACCCAUCUCUACGGAAUAACGCAUGGAAACGUGUGCUAAUACCGUAUACGUCCUUCGGGAGAAAGAUUUAUCGGAGAUGGAUGAGCCCGCGUUGGAUUAGCUAGUUGGUGGGGUAAAGGCCUACCAAGGCGACGAUCCAUAGCUGGUCUGAGAGGCUGAUCAGCCACACUGGGACUGAGACACGGCCCAGACUCCUGCGGGAGGGAGCAGUGGGUAAUAUUGGACAUUGGGCGCAAGCCUGUGCCACCCUUGCCGCGUGAGGGAUGAAGGCCCGAGGGGUAUAAAGCUCUUUCACAGGUGAAGAUAAGGACGGUAACCGGAGAAGAAGCCCCGGCUAACUGCGUGCCAGCAGCCGCCGCGUAAA